rnacentral:rRNA from 1 species
AGCUCCGAUAGCGUAUAUUAAAGUUGUUGCAGUUAAAAAGCUCGUAGUUGAACUUCUGCUUUAAGGGAUCUGGCAAAUAUGUUCAGUUGUACUUUAGAGCAUCCCCUUUGAUGACGCGGCAUGCACUUGGUUGAGCAGUCGUUGAUUCUAGGAAUUUACUUUGAAAAAAUUAGAGUGUUUCAAGCAGGCGAUUAGCUGGAAUACAUUAGCAUGGAAUAAUAGAAUAUGACCUCUAUAUCAUUUUAUUGGUUUGUGUUUAGAGGUAAUGAUUAACAGGGACAGUUGGGGGCAUUAGUAUGGCUUUGUCAGAGGUGAAAUUCAUUGAUUAUCGCCAGACUAACUUAUGCGAAAGCAUUUGCCAAGGAUGUUUUCA